rnacentral:rRNA from 1 species
UACGAGGGGGGCAAGCGUUGUUCGGAAUUAUUGGGCGUAAAGCGCACGUAGGCGGAUUGCUAAGUCAGGGGUGAAAUCCUGGAGCUCAACUCCAGAACUGCCUUUGAUACUGGCGAUCUUGAGUCCGGGAGAGGUGAGUGGAACUGCGAGUGUAGAGGUGAAAUUCGUAGAUAUUCGCAAGAACACCAGUGGCGAAGGCGGCUCACUGGCCCGGUACUGACGCUGAGGUGCGAAAGCGUGGGGAGCAAACAGG